AUAUAUCAUCUUCUCUGCACAUUAUGAACCUUUCUCAAAAAUGGACCACAUAUUCAGCCAUAAAGCAAGUUUCAACAUACACAAGAGAAUGGAAAUAACUCCCUGUAUCUUAUCAGACCACUACAUAUUAAAAGCUGGAUAUCAACAACAGAAACCUUACAAACUCAUGGAAACUAAACAACUCUCCAUUGAAUGAAAAAUAGGUCAGGUCAGAAAUAAAUUAAAGACUUUCUUGAAUUGAAUGAAAAUGAAUACACAUGAUAUGAAACACAGUGAAGAUGGCUCCAAGAGACAAGUUCAUAGCACUAAAUAGCUACAUUAAACAACAACAACAAACAAACGGAGAGAGCUCAUACUAGCAACCUAAUAGCAUAUCUGAAAGCUCUAUAACAAAAUGAAAUAAUUAUACCCAAAGGGAAUAGACAGAAAGGAAUAUUCUAACUUGGGGCUGAAAUAAAUAAAUGAAAACAAAGAGAUCGCAAAGAGUCAAUGAAGCGGAGAGCUGGUUCUUUGAAAAAUAAAAUCAAGGAAAUCAACAAACUCUCAACCAAAUAGCAGAAUCAGAAAUGAAAAGGGGGCAUAACAACACCAAGGAAACCCAGAGACUCAUAAGGGCAUGCUUUAAAAAUAGCUACUCUACCAAAUAGGAAGUAAAAAAAACCAAGAUAAUUUUAUAGAUAUGUCCUAUUUGCCAAAGUUAAAUUAAGAUCAGACAAGCUAUUUAAACAGAUGCAUAGCCACUAGUAAAAUAAAAGCAGUCAUUAAAUGUAUCCCAAACAAAACAAAACAACAAACCAAAACAGAACAAAAACCCAGGGUCAGAUGGUUUUAGAACUGAAUUCUGCCGGACGUUCAAAGAAGAGUUAAUACCAAUACUCCUCAAAUUAUCACACAAACCAGAAGCAGAAGGAACAUUGCCCAAUACAUUUUAUGAGACCACAGUUGCAUUGAUACCCAAGCCUUAUAAAAAGCCAGUAAAGAAAUACAGAUGAAUUUCCAGUAACAUAAAUUUUAAAAUACUCAAUUCAAGAAUACAUCAAGGUUUAUCCACCAUGAUCAAGUCAGCUUCAUGCUAGAGAUCAAUAAGUGUAAUCCACUAUAUAAACAAACUGAAAAAAAAAUACCCCACAUGAUUAUCUCAUUAGAUUUUUAAAAAAGCCUUUGACAAAAUCCAACAACUAUUCAUGAUAAAAAUCUUGGAGAAAUUAGGGGGUCUAAGGCAUAUAACGAAGGCAGUUUACAGCAAGCCCAUGGCCAACAUCAACUUAAAUGGGGAGAAACUCAAAACAAAUUUCCACUAAAAUCAUAAACAAGACAAGACUUCACACUCUCUGAAUGCCUAUUUAGUAUAGUAUUUGAAACUUUAGCUAGAGCAAUAGCACAGCUGAAGGAGUUCAUGGAGAUAUAAAUUGGAAAAAAGUCAAAGUAUCAUUAUUUUCAGAUGAUUUGAUAUACGGAAGUGACCCUAAAAUUCUACUGGGGAACUUCUCCAGCUAAUAAACACAUUCAACAAAGUAGCUAGAAACAAGAUUGAUGCACAAAAGUCGGUAUACCUCCUACAUACAAACGGCAAAUGGUCUGAGAAAGAAACCAGGAAAACAAUGCCUAUCACAACUGUGCACAAAUAAUACAAAUUCACAAAUAAUACAAAAUACCUUGGGGUGGCUCUAACCAAGCAAGUGAGAGACUUUUAUGAUAAAAACUUCAAGUCUUCGAAGAAAGAAAUCGAAGGAGAUAUCUAAAGAUGGAAAGAUCUUCCGUGUUCAUGGACCACUGGGAUUAACAUAGUAAAAAUGGCCAUCUUACCAAAAGCAAUCAACAGAUUCAAUGCAGUCGUCAUCAGAGUUUCAACACACCUCUUCAAAGAUCUGAAAGGACAAUUCUCAGUUUCAUAUGGAAAAU
rnacentral:lncRNA from 1 species